rnacentral:lncRNA from 1 species
GCCCCUGGCCGCAGAUACAAAGGAUGCAUUUCAAGCUCUCCCAAGAACUCUUGCAGUGCUCCAUCCCUGUGUCCUCAGAAAUGGGCCUGAGUGGAAAGAGAGUCAGCAGAGAGAGAAAUAGAAACAUUAAUUUCAUUUCAGAGGAGUUGGAAGUGUUGUGAACUAUUAAUCCUUUAGCUUUGCUUUGGACUUGAUAGCAAAAGUAGCUGCAUGCAGAAGUAAAAUUGUUAAGAAUGUCACAUAAAAUGUGAGGGUGAGCUCAGCAUGAAGGAACAGCCUCUUCCAUUGGUGAGGUUAAUACACAUUUGACCUCAAACCCUUUGUGGUCACCUUUGAACAGUGCCUCCCUCUCUGAAAUAAAAUACUGGUUCUGUAAUUAAUUAUUAAUUAUUG